rnacentral:snRNA from 1 species
GUGCUUGCUUCAACAGCACAUAUACUAAAAUUGAAAGAUAUAGAGAAAAUUAGCAUCGCCCCUGUGCAAGGAUGGUAUGCAAAUUUGUGAAGCAUUCCACAUAUAU